rnacentral:lncRNA from 10 species
GCAAACUAAAAAAAAGAAACAGGUUGUGAAGUAAUGCAGAAAGUUAUUUUUAAUUAAAAUUAUCAAUGUAUCCGUAUUAAAAAUUUAAAUAGAAGAUACAAACAAUAAAGUGCCGCUGAUAGACCCUGAAGGAGGUCUGCCUCUCCCAAAGGCAGACGGCAAACAAUAUAGGCUACAGACACAAACACUGGGACUUCGUAUUAAUUGUGCUGCCACACAAAGGGGGUGUGGUUUGGGGUUGAGGGGCUCACUGGCCAGUUUUUCCAUGUUUCUCAAAUAAAACUCUGGUGUCAUCAAGAAACAUGGUGGAGGGAGACAUGAAGACUUUAGAGACAGGAACCACUGCAGAAAUAUCAGGAGAUGGGGAGGCAGAGGAAAGAAAGGAGAGAUCUGUGGAUCCCGUGAGCACCCCAAAUUGGAACCACUCCUUACCGUGCCUCAAGGAAGCAACAGACCUCCAAACUGCAUGGUGUACCUCAAAAGAGCAAGACCCAAGCAAAAAGAAUGCUGCCUGAUUUCCUGACAUUAACAAUGAACACAGCCAGACUCAAGAGGAGGAAGCUACUGGGACCACGGCAGUCAAGGAAACACCAUCAACACCCAGUCUUCCUCCCACAUUACUCAGAGACUUUUAUCUUUGCCAUCCUUAAACACAUUCCUGCAGGUCUCCAGAUCCCUUCCAGCCCAUCUUAGAUAAAACUGUGCAGGAAAAAUGUGCUUCUAAUAUAGAGGUUUCCAUCUGGACACCUUGUAUUUGAAUCACAACUCAAACUUUUUUAAUGCCACCCUCUGUUUCCCUACUGGAUCUUAAAGACAAUUGGCACUGAAGCAUAAUAAAAUAAUCAAUUAUGUCUCAUCUAUGCUAUGCUAUUUGAGAGCAUUUCCCUCAAAAUCUCUUCUAUACUUUGAUUUAAAAGUAAGAUUUAUACCAAAAAGCCAAUGAAUGAAUAUUAAUGUGAUAUUUUAGAUGAUAUCUAAUGAAAAAUCUCAAAUAUCAUACAAUGUAAUUAAUUUAUAUUCUUAAUAUACCAGUUUCUCACCAACUAUGAGAAUUUGAUUCCUAAAAAUCCCCUUGGUAGAAGAAUUCAGAUUCGUGAAAUAAAAGAUCUUACAGAAAAAGAAUAUUAGUAGUUAAUGUUCAUGGUAAACCUUAAAAGGUCCUUAAAAAUAUGUUUCUAUUAUAUGAUCCAGCAACCUCACUUCUGAGUAUGUAUCCAAAAGAAUUGAAAUCAGGAUCUUGAAGGGAUAUUGGCACUACUGUGUUCACUGCAACACUACUCACAAUUGCUAAGAUGUGAAAACAAAUGUCCAUCAACAGAUAAAUGGAUAAAGAAAAUGUGGUAUAUACAUACAGUGGAAAACUGCUGGGCCUUAAAAAAGAAGGAAAUUCUGUAAUAGGCAACACCAUGGAUUGACCUUGAGGACAUUAUGUUAGGUGAAAUAAAACCAAACACAGAAAGGCAAGUACUGCAUGAUCCCACUUAGAUGAUGUAUCUAAAAUAGUCAAACUUAGAAAACAAAGACUGGAAUGGUGGUUACCAGGAGCUGGAAGUAGGAGGAGGUGGGAGUUAUUAAUCAACAGGUGUAGAGUUUCAGUUAAGUAAGUUAAAUAAGCUUCUGAGGUUUGUUGUACAUUGUAUGUAUAGUCAAAAAUAAUGCACUGUACACUUAAAAUUUGUUAAGAGGAUAGAUCUCAUAUUAAGUGUUAUGCAAUUAAAUAAUAAUUUAAAAAUAUACAUUGCUAUCAAUUUGAAGAAAACAAUAAAGGCAGCAUAUUCCUUAAAGACAGAAUCAAUGAGAUUAAGUUUUCGCCAUUUGAAAGUCAUCUUCUGGUUGUCUUUUACCUCGAAUCAAGCUUCAUGAGACAAAAAAGGCUGUGAUGAACUGAAUUGUCCCCAACCUCCCAUUCAUGUGUUGAAGACCUAACCCCCAAUGAGAUGGUAUUUGAAGAUGUGGCCUUUUGCAGAAAAUUUGGUUUAGAUGAAGUCAUGAAGAUGAGGUCCUCCUGGUGGGAUUGGUGCCUUUAUAAGAAGAUACACCAGAGAGCUUGUUUGUUUGCUCUCUCUUUCUAUGCAUGCUCAUGCAAAGAAGAAAUCAUGUGAGCACACAGGGAGAUGGCGGCCAUCUGUAAGCCAGGAAGAGAACCCUUACCAGAACUAUACCUAGUUGGCACCCUGAUCAUGGACUUCUAGCUUCCAGAAGUGUGAG